GCAAACUAUUCACUCAACCCGUUUCUCUGCCCCGUGCGGUCGUGCCCCACGACCCAUUCCUCUCCCUCAUCCACGAACUCAUCUUCUUCCUCCCCAUGCACACCUUCCUCCGCGCCCCGGCGAGAUCCGUUGCGCCCAGCCUCCAUCGACCUGGCCACGCCGGAGCUCCUCCUUCCCCAACCUUCUUCUCCGCCGACGCACCCCACACCCCAGACCGGCAGCGAAGCAUCCUGCACCGGCGGACGCGCUCCCCCGCCUCUGACCGGCGCCAACGUUGCCCCACGCCCCGCUUCUCCCUUCCGGCAUCGUCCUGCGCCCCGCCGCAUCGAUCCCUCGCCGAUUCGAUGCAUCCCGCGGCUGGGACCUUCGAUCCCCGUCAGAUCCGGGCCCUUCUUGUCCAACAACGACAACAAAAGCACGCAGCGGCUGCUCUGGCUGCCCCAUCGCAGAUUCCAACCAGUGCCCCCCUGCUCGCUGUGGACUUAUGAAUCCAUAUGUCAACAUACAGUGCCGGUGCAUGGGCUGCGUCGGCAAGGUCGACAAGGCAAUGCCCUCCGUGAGGACCUUCUUACGGGUUGAAACGUCAGUGGGAGCGACGUCGGCACUGGAGUCGUGGCCGUGGCGGGCAAGGUGAACCCGGCGGAGCUCUGCCAGUGGCUCAAGAGGAAGACAAGGAAGGAUGCCAAGAUUGUCCACCUUCGUACACCUGCUAAAGAAUCAUAAUAAACAGGGCCUCACUAAAUUCUAAAAUGAUGUCAAAGCAACGUUUUCAAGGUUUUGUGCACAUGCUCAAGAAAGAAGAUUCAACAUCCACUUCUAGCGGGACUUGCUUUUUAUUUUCCCUGUUUGCAAGCAAGAAGCUUUGCCAGCUACUUCCAGUUUGGGGGCAAUGCAAAAUGCAAUGGCCAGCAGGUGUGCUCUUGUAGAAUACAACUGCAAGAGAAGCAUGGCACAUCCCUGACAAACACGGCGCCGUGUUUUACAUGAAUUGGUCCUCCUUAUAGCUUGCUUUUUUUAAGAAGUUGUGAGUUGUACAUUUUUCACACAGAAGGAUGAUGAAGUUGUGUCGGUGUUUGGGUGUUCGUCGGAAACGAUGCGUAUAGAGGAUCUUCUUGCAGACUGGAAUGACAAAGACCUUUGCGCAUGAUCUGCAUGUUAGCAAGUUGCGCAGAAUAAAUGUUUUUGGCAUAUGAAUGUGGCAACCAGUAAGAGAUUGAGGAGAGAGGUCUUGUAGUGCCGGUAACCAGCAAGCGAAUUAGGAGCGAGAGCCAAGAGGGCGCCACCAUUUAUGUGUCGUGACCACCUAGCAGGGAGGAGCUAGAUCCAGAAAAUCUUUUUCCUAGUGGUCGAGAAUUGGCCCGCAAAUCUCCAGAAGGAGUGAUGGAACCACUUGGUGGGGAGGCAAGAUGUUUUCCAUUGAGGGCCACAUGGGAUGGGGACAACCUUUCCUUUCUAGGACGGUGUGGACAGAAUUUUACUUUUUGGGGGUGUGUGCUCGGGGGCACUAGCCAGCCAACGGGUGCUGGCUAGACGCGUCCUUAAAUAAUUUGUAAUGAGGUUGUACUUAAACUCGAUGAGCUUCAAAACGGUCGUGUUGGUUUGUUCCAUCACUUUGCUUUUAUUUCAUUUUGCUUUUUAUUUUUAUUUUUCCUUUGCAAUUUUUCGUUUGCAAGUUAGUUUUCAAAAAACCAAAAACCAAAAAAAUAGAAUAAGCUGUGCUUUGCUCUUGUUCUUUAUCUUGCCCUUUGGAGUUCAUCUACAUUUUGUUUUCAGAGGAGUUAAUCAACGCAGAACAACGAGGAAUGCAAGAGUAAGGAAGAGAAGUGUGUAAAUUCGCAAUCGUGAAGCUAUGCUAAGUUCUCAGGUCAAGAAGCGGAGGUCUAUCUAGGCAUACCGAUUGUAAGUGAACCAAAACAUUCUCAUUAUUUCGGUUUAAACAACUGAGUUCCUUAUGAUUCGGAUUUCUCUUUAUGUUGCUCGAGGACGAUCAAGUUUUAUAUUAGUUCUUUUAAAAAGGUUUUCGUUAGUUUCCGGCUAUUCUUUAUUUCUUUUUUUAGUU